AUCUGGUAUUGUAGCAUGUACAGAUUAAAUAACAUGCAAAUGUACGUGUUUCGCGUCAAAUGAUGACAAGGUAACAUAAAACGAUUACAAGGUUCACUGGGAUUUAUGCUCACCUGUUCAGGAUUGCUUACUACUACACUUUUAUCACCAAAACCGAUGCUCAAUAUGUAAAAGGAGUGAUGACAAAAAAAAC